GUACUGAUGAGGAGUCCCAAACUAGGAUGAAACAGCUGUCCAGUAC
rfam:Trichobilharzia regenti genome assembly, scaffold: TRE_scaffold0014684